AGUGAACGCUGGCGGCGUGCCUAAUACAUGCAAGUCGAACGGAGUGGCGCACGGGUGAGUAAUAUAUAGCUAAUCUGCCCCUUGCUGGAGGACAACAGUUAGAAAUGACUGCUAAUACUCCAUAGCAAGGGAUGAGACUAUAUCGUAUCAGCUAGUCGGUGGGGUAACGGCCUACCGAGGCUAUGACGCGUAACUGGUCUGAGAGGAUGAUCAGGAGAAUCGGAAGUGAGGCAGGAGUCGGACUCAUGCGGGAAGCAGCAGAAGGGUAAAUUGCGCAAGGGGCGAGUACGUGAAGGAGCAUAGCGUCGUAAAGUAUGACAAGUUGGGAGGAGGAAACUCAUGUUAAUAGCAAAACGGUACCUAAAGAAUAAGCACCGGCUAACUACGUGCCAGCAGCCGCGGUAAUUC
rnacentral:rRNA from 1 species